GGGUAACAAAGAGUGCCCAGAGGCGGGCAUGCAUGGAUCUCUCUGGGAAGGGGAAAUAAAGGAUAUCUCCUGAGUGAACCCGGAGUGGAGUCUUCAUCCAAUGAUUGAUGGAAGCACAGGCAGACACCCACAGCUAAACACUGAACUGAGCUCCUGGAAACGAAUUGCAGAGAGGGAUGAGUGAUGAGCAAUGGAAUCAUGACCGAGCUGGGGAAACCCACAGAAACAGCUGACCUGAACAAGGGGGAGCUCAUGGACCCCAGACUGGUGGCUGAGAGGCUAACAUGGAACUAAUCCAGACCCCUUGAAUGUCAGUGAGGAGGCCUCAACAAUCUAUGGGGCCUCGGGUAGUAGACCAGUAUUUAUCCCUGGCACACAAAUGGACUUUGGGAGCCCAUUCCACAUGAAAAGAUGCUCUCUCAGUCUGGACACAUGGGGAGGGUCUAGGCCCUGCCUAGGAUGAUAUGAAAGACAUUGGAGAUCCUCCAUGGAGAGACUCACCCUCCCUGGGGAGCAGAGGGGGGAUGAGGG
rnacentral:lncRNA from 1 species